GUGCCAGCCGCCGCGGUAAUACGUAGGGGCCGAGCGUUGUCCGGAGUUAUUGGGCGUAAAGCGCGCGCAGGCGGCUUCGCGCGUCCGACGUGAAAGCCCCCGGCUUAACCGGGGAGGGUCGUUGGGUACGGCGGAGCUUGAGGGCGGGAGAGGGUGGUGGAAUUCCCGGUGUAGUGGUGAAAUGCGUAGAGAUCGGGAGGAACACCUGUGGCGAAGGCGGCCACCUGGGCCGACCCUGACGCUGAGGCGCGAAGGCGUGGGGAGCGAACGGGAUUAGAAACCCCGGUAGUCC
rnacentral:rRNA from 1 species